UCGGAGGAAAGGGGAGAGCCGAGAGGAGAAGAGGGGAAGGAGGCGCACCGGCGUUGCUGGGCCUCACCGCCGCCAUCGCGUCCUCACAGAGCCUUGGAGGAAGCACGCGCCACCACAUGCAGUCAUUACCGCUGCACCGUGUCGUUGCUCCGCCGCCGUUCACGCUUCUGUCGCUGUCAGAACCGCAUGCCGCCGCUGGAAGCAUCUUCAUCAUCACCGUUAAUGGAGGUCGGUGAACGGUGGGAAGACGCGCGAGGAAGGAGAAGCCUUCGCCGUCGCACCUUGUGCUGCUAGUUUUGUCGCACCUCAUCGUCAUCAUCGCUGCCGGACCUCCGUGUCGCACCGGCGCCGCGAGUUGCUAUCGAGCCACUACAAGCAAAACCCACUGCGCGAAACUGCGCCGCCACGUGCUGUUGCCGUUGCCGAGCUCCCAUGGAUGCCGCCGGCAAGAUUCGAAGAGAGAGAAGCUCAAGGAGAGAGAUAGAUUGACGGAGGGGAUUACUAUUCAUGCGGCCGUGCCUCCACUGCCUUUCACCGCCACAGAUCCGCCAUCAUCCGCCGCGCCGCACCAUGCCACGUCGCUGCCGGAAACUGUCACUGAAGUCCCUUUUCCCUUGGGCUGAGUUGUAGUUCUUGCAUGCUAAGUUCAGUAGCCGUGCAUGUGACAUCAAGCUGUCGUGUCGUCAACGGAGUCGCCGCUGUUUCGUUUUCUCGGAUACUCGUAGGUUCAGUAAGCCUUUUCCUGUUCCGAUUUCUUUUAGUCACUAUUCUGUGAUAUGUUCCUAAGGUCUUUGCAACGUUAAUGCUUUAGGUUUGAGUUCGGUUCUUACGUGUCGUGAUUAAAGUUGCUGUGGUUGAGGUUGUGUAGUUGCGGGCUGUGAGAAAAAGAAUUUCUGUCGCGUGGUUAAGUCAAAAUUGAGGUAGGGGCGUUUUCCUCAAAUUCAUUUUAUUUGUGAGAAUUGUUAUAAAUCGAUAUUGAUGCAAAAAUAUAUGUUUGGUGAUUAUGUGGGUUUUAUGGAUUGAAUUGAUUUGCUUUGGACAAGUGAAA